UUAACCCUCUGGGGAGGCUUGGUGUUGAACUUGCAUCCUCAGAGAGACAACACUGGAUUCUUUCACCUGCUGAGCCACUCACAGCAGGAACUCCCCAAAGCAUGAAUUUUUAAUUCACCCUUUUUCAAAUUCCCUAAGUUGUAUUGAUGAGGUUGGCUUUAGCUAGCAAGCUUAAGGCUCCCUUCCUCCGUUUUUCAGUGGACCUCUCCUUUGCCAUCCUCAGUCCACCAAAGAGGUCGGCUAAUAGCAUGAGGGCCCAUGCUAUUUGUCACCCACAUCCUUACUCACCCACCUUGCUUUUACACACUACCUUCAACAUCACUGCUUGAAUAAUUCCUGACCAGCAUCAACAAUAACCAUGACCUUUAUUCUGUGUUCUCCUAGAAGAUCCUGAGGACCUGGGGGAGGAGUGGUCCAGCCUCAGGUCAGUCGUGGCCGCUCCUUCUGCCACCAUGGUCCUUGUAGAUGAGGUAACUGAUGAAAAUGAUACUUAUACAGAAAUUAUCACUCCAGUGACGAACAAUCAGGAUGAAGAAGAAGAUUGCAUAGGAUGCUGCUUCCGGAUCCAAAGGAACAAUCGACAGACGUCACAAAGAUCCACCUCUGGCUGCAUCAGAAAAUUAUGCUCCUGGCGCCACCAGCGAGUGCACCCCGCUAAUGGGUCGGGGACAGAAGAAACCCCGGGCUCCCAUGAAAGGCUGCCCAGCACCGCAGGAGGAAUAGAGGCUCCAAGUGGCUGCACAAUGCCGGCCGAUGACGCAACUAAUAAUAAUGGCAUGGCUUUGGAGCGCCCCACUCCAGUGACAAACAAUCGGGGUGAAGAAGAAGAAGAUUGCAUAGGAUGCUGCUUCCGGAUCCAAAGGAACAAUCGACAGAGUCACAAAGAUCCACCUCUGGCUGCAUCAGAAAUUAUGCUCCUGGCCCACCAGCGAUGCACGCUAAUGGUCGGGACAGGUACGUGGAGAUUUUCUCCUUCGGUGCAUGCAAGAAUAAUUUUUCUUUAGGGUCCCCUGUAUACGAAUGAACUCGGAAGUAUUUUGUGGUAUCCUUUGUGCGUGCGUGCGUGCGUGCGUGCGUGUGUGUCCAAGUUGAAACAUACUUAGUCAGGUGGUAGUGUUUAUAUACCUGUGGAAAUAAAACGACUUUGAAAUCUCAACAGCCGGUUGAUGUUGGAGGGUGAAGAUGAUCUCUAGCCAGGGUGUCGAUGACGGCUGGCUUUUGGACAUUAGCUGCUGUGUCUCCCUCAGGGAAGCCGUGUUUCCAGGUGUCUUUAAAUUAUUAGACAUUGUUUCGACCUGGAUUAUGUGGACAAGAAGUCCAACAGAUGA
rnacentral:lncRNA from 9 species